GUAAGUUAGCGGCGGACGGGUGAGUAACACGUGGGCAACCUGCCCUUGAGACUGGGAUAACUUCGGGAAACCGGAGCUAAUACCGGAUAAUAUGAGGAACCUCCUGGUUCCUUAUUGAAAGAUGGUUUCGGCUAUCACUUAAGGAUGGGCCCGCGGCGCAUUAGCUAGUUGGUGAGGUAACGGCUCACCAAGGCGACGAUGCGUAGCCGACCUGAGAGGGUGAUCGGCCACACUGGGACUGAGACACGGCCCAGACUCCUACGGGAGGCAGCAGUAGGGAAUCUUCCACAAUGGACGAAAGUCUGAUGGAGCAACGCCGCGUGAGUGAUGAAGGCCUUCGGGUCGUAAAGCUCUGUUGUUAGGGAAGAACAAGUGCGAGAGUAACUGCUCGCACCUUGACGGUACCUAACCAGAAAGCCACGGCUAACUACGUGCCAGCAGCCGCGGUAAUACGUAGGUGGCAAGCGUUAUCCGGAAUUAUUGGGCGUAAAGCGCGCGCAGGUGGUUUCUUAAGUCUGAUGUGAAAGCCCACGGCUCAACCGUGGAGGGUCAUUGGAAACUGGGGAACUUGAGUGCAGAAGAGGAAAGUGGAAUUCCAAGUGUAGCGGUG
rnacentral:rRNA from 1 species